rnacentral:ncRNA from 1 species
AUAGAUGCGCAGAAAAGAAGAGUACAACUCGAAAGGCUCGUACAGAGAGCUCCGGCAGGUGAGAAGGAGCAGAGAAAAUCAGUUGGAAGAUGGUCUUUGAGCAUUCAGUGGUGAGUGGUGACAUAAGCAGCUGACGGAGGUGCCCGUUACAGCAACGCAGUAUCAGCAGAAGCUCGUACUGGCUAAGGUCGUUUUCGUAAGGCAACGACAAACAAAGGUGGUAACGCGAAAUCAUUCGUCCUUUUU